rnacentral:rRNA from 1 species
CCUACGGGAGGCAGCAGUCGAGAAUCAUUCACAAUGGGGGCAACCCUGAUGGUGCGACGCCGCGUGGGGGAAUGAAGGUCUUCGGAUUGUAAACUCCUGUCAUGUGGGAGCAAAUUAAAAAGAUAGUAUCACAAGAGGAAGAGACGGCUAACUCUGUGCCAGCAGCCGCGGUCAUACAGAGGUCUCAAGCGUUGUUCGGAAUGACUGGGCGUAAAGGGUGCGUAGGCUGUUUCGUAAGUCGUGUGUGAAAGGUGCGGGCUCAACCGGCGGACGGCACAUGAUACUGAGAGGCUAGAGUAAAGGUGGGGGAAGCGGAAUGGAUGGUGGAGCAGUGAAAUGCGUAGAGAUCA